rnacentral:rRNA from 1 species
GACGAACGCUGGCGGCGUGCUUAACACAUGCAAGUCGAGCGGUAAGGCCCUUUCGGGGGUACGACGAGCGGCGAACGGGUGAGUAACACGUGGGUGACCUGCCUUUAGUCUCUGGGAGUAAGCCUGGGAAACCGGGUCUAAUACCGGAUAUGACUCCGCGGCGCAUGUUGUGGGGUGGAAAGCCUUGUGCGGCUGGAGAUGGGCCCGCGGCCUAUCAGCUUGUUGGUGGGGUGAUGGCCUACCAAGGCGACGACGGGUAGCCGGCCUGAGAGGGCGACCGGCCACACUGGGACUGAGACACGGCCCAGACUCCUACGGGAGGCAGCAGUGGGGAAGUCUUGCGCAAUGGGCGAAAGCCUGACGCAGCGACGCCGCGUGA